AGUGAACGCUGGCGGUAGGCCUAACACAUGCCAGUCGAACGGCAGCACAGUAAGAGCUUGCUCUUACGGGUGGCGAGUGGCGGACGGGUGAGGAAUACAUCGGAAUCUACUUUUUCGUGGGGGAUAACGUAGGGAAACUUACGCUAAUACCGCAUACGACCUACGGGUGAAAGCAGGGGAUCUUCGGACCUUGCGCGAUUGAAUGAGCCGAUGUCGGAUUAGCUAGUUGGCGGGGUAAAGGCCCACCAAGGCGACGAUCCGUAGCUGGUCUGAGAGGAUGAUCAGCCACACUGGAACUGAGACACGGUCCAGACUCCUACGGGAGGCAGCAGUGGGGAAUAUUGGACAAGGGGCGCAAGCCUGAUCCAGCCAUACCGCGUGGGUGAAGAAGGCCUUCGGGUUGUAAAGCCCUUUUGUUGGGAAAGAAAAGCAGCAGGUUAAUACCCCGCUGUUCUGGCGGUACCCAAAGAAUAAGCACCGGCUAACUUCGUG
rnacentral:rRNA from 1 species